rnacentral:rRNA from 1 species
UACGGAGGAUGCGAGCGUUAUCCGGAUUUAUUGGGUUUAAAGGGUGCGUAGGCGGAUUUUUAAGUCAGCGGUAAAAUGUCCGGGCUCAACCCGGGCCGGCCGUUGAAACUGGGGAUCUUGAGUGGGCGAGAAGUAUGCGGAAUGCGUGGUGUAGCGGUGAAAUGCAUAGAUAUCACGCAGAACUCCGAUUGCGAAGGCAGCAUACCAGCGCCCAACUGACGCUGAAGCACGAAGGCGUGGGUAUCGAACAGG